rnacentral:rRNA from 1 species
AUUGAACGCUGGCGGCAGGCCUAACACAUGCAAGUCGAACGAGUGGCGGACGGGUGAGUAAUGUCUGGGAAACUGCCCGAUGGGGGGGGAUAACUAGUGGAAACGGUAGCUAAUACCGCCUACCAUCAGCUGAGCCCAGAUGGGAUUGGCUUGUUGGUGGGGUAACGGCUCACAAGGGCGAUGAUCCCUAGCUGGUCGGAGAGGAUGACGAGCCAAAUUGGAACGGGGACACGGCCCAGACUCCUACGGGAGGAGGCAGUGGGGAAUAUUGCAAAAUGGGGGCAAUCCUGAUGCAGACAUGCCGCGUGUAUGAAGAAGGCCUUCGGGUUGUAAAGUACUUUCAGCGGGGAGGCGUUACCCGCAGAAGAAGCACCGGCUAACUCCGUGCCAGCAGCCGCGGUAAUAC